rnacentral:rRNA from 1 species
UACGGGGGGGGCAAGCGUUGUUCGGAAUUACUGGGCGUAAAGGGUUUGUAGGUGGCCAACUAAGUCGAACGUGAAAUCCCCGGGCUCAACCCGGGAACUGCGUCCGAUACUGGCAGGCUUGAAUCCGGGAGAGGGAUGCGGAAUUCCAGGUGUAGCGGUGAAAUGCGUAGAUAUCUGGAGGAACACCGGUGGCGAAGGCGGCAUCCUGGACCGGCAUUGACGCUGAGGCGCGAAAGCCAGGGGAGCAAACGGG